rnacentral:tRNA from 1 species
GCCCAGGUGGUGAAAUUGGUAGACACGCCACUUUGAGGGGGUGGUGCCGAUUGCGGUGUGCAAGUUCAAAUCUUGUCCUGGGCA